GACGAACGCUGGCGGCGUGCUUAACACAUGCAAGUCGAACGGAAAGGCCCUGCUUUUGUGGGGUGCUCGAGUGGCGAACGGGUGAGUAACACGUGAGUAACCUGCCCUUGACUUUGGGAUAACUUCAGGAAACUGGGGCUAAUACCGGAUAGGAGCUCCUGCUGCAUGGUGGGGGUUGGAAAGUUUCGGCGGUUGGGGAUGGACUCGCGGCUUAUCAGCUUGUUGGUGGGGUAGUGGCUUACCAAGGCUUUGACGGGUAGCCGGCCUGAGAGGGUGACCGGCCACAUUGGGACUGAGAUACGGCCCAGACUCCUACGGGAGGCAGCAGUGGGGAAUAUUGCACAAUGGGCGGAAGCCUGAUGCAGCAACGCCGCGUGCGGGAUGACGGCCUUCGGGUUGUAAACCGCUUUCGCCUGUGACGAAGCGUGAGUGACGGUAAUGGGUAAAGAAGCACCGGCUAACUACGUGCCAGCAGCCGCGGUGAUACGUAGGGUGCGAGCGUUGUCCGGAUUUAUUGGGCGUAAAGGGCUCGUAGGUGGUUGAUCGCGUCGGAAGUGUAAUCUUGGGGCUUAACCCUGAGCGUGCUUUCGAUACGGGUUGACUUGAGGAAGGUAGGGGAGAAUGGAAUUCCUGGUGGAGCGGUGGAAUGCGCAGAUAUCAGGAGGGACACCAGUGGCGAAGGCGGUUCUCUGGGCCUUUCCUGACGCUGAGGAGCGAAAGCGUGGGGAGCGAACAGGCUUAGAUACCCUGGUAGUCCACGCUGUAAACGGUGGGUACUAGGUGUGGGGUCCAUUCCACGGGUUCCGUGCCGUAGCUAACGCUUUAAGUACCCCGCCUGGGGAGUACGGCCGCAAGGCUAAAACUCAAAGGAAUUGACGGGGCCCCGCACAAGCGGCGGAGCAUGCGGAUUAAUUCGAUGCAACGCGUAGAACCUUACCCGGGUUUGACAUGGAUCGGGAGCGCUCAGAGAUGGGUGUGCCUCUUUUGGGGUCGGUUCACAGGUGGUGCAUGGCUGUCGUCAGCUCGUGUCGUGAGAUGUUGGGUUAAGUCCCGCAACGAGCGCAACCCUUGUUCACUGUUGCCAGCACGUUAUGGUGGGGACUCAGUGGAGACCGCCGGGGUCAACUCGGAGGAAGGUGGGGAUGACGUCAAGUCAUCAUGCCCCUUAUGUCCAGGGCUUCACGCAUGCUACAAUGGCUGGUACAGAGAGUGGCGAGCCUGUGAGGGUGAGCGAAUCUCGGAAAGCCGGUCUCAGUUCGGAUUGGGGUCUGCAACUCGACCUCAUGAAGUCGGAGUCGCUAGUAAUCGCAGAUCAGCAACGCUGCGGUGAAUACGUUCCCGGG
rnacentral:rRNA from 1 species